GAUUGUUUAGUUUAUUAUAAAACGAAUGUUUUGAAAACAUUUAAAAAGAAACAAUUCUUAACAAUUA
rnacentral:tRNA from 1 species